AUUGAACGCUGGCGGCAUGCCUUACACAUGCAAGUCGAACGGUAACAGGUUAAGCUGACGAGUGGCGAACGGGUGAGUAAUAUAUCGGAACGUGCCCAGUCGUGGGGGAUAACUGCUCGAAAGAGCAGCUAAUACCGCAUACGACCUGAGGGUGAAAGCGGGGGAUCGCAAGACCUCGCGCGAUUGGAGCGGCCGAUAUCAGAUUAGGUAGUUGGUGGGGUAAAGGCCCACCAAGCCAACGAUCUGUAGCUGGUCUGAGAGGACGACCAGCCACACUGGGACUGAGACGCGGCCCAGAAUCCUACGGGAGGCAGCAGUGGGGAAUUUUGGAAAAUGGGCGCAAGCCUGAUCCAGCCAUGCCGCGUGCGGGAAGAAGGCCUUCGGGUUGUAAACCGCUUUUGUCAGGGAAGAAAAGGUUCUGGUUAAUACCUGGGACUCAUGACGGUACCUGAAGAAUAAGCACCGGCUAACUACGUGCCAGCAGCCGCCGUAA
rnacentral:rRNA from 1 species